GGUUCAGGAUGAACGCUAGCGACAGGCUUAACACAUGCAAGUCGAGGGGCAGCAUAGAAGUAGCAAUACUUGGUGGCGACCGGCGCACGGGUGAGUAACGCGUAUGCAACCUACCUAUCAGAGGGGAAUAACCCGGCGAAAGUCGGACUAAUACCGCAUAAAACAGGGGCACCGCAUGGUGAUAUUUGUUAAAGAAAUUCGCUGAUAGAUGGGCAUGCGUUCCAUUAGGUAGUUGGUGAGGUAACGGCUCACCAAGCCGACGAUGGAUAGGGGAACUGAGAGGUUGGUCCCCCACACUGGUACUGAGACACGGACCAGACUCCUACGGGAGGCAGCAGUGAGGAAUAUUGGUCAAUGGGCGGGAGCCUGAACCAGCCAAGUCGCGUGAAGGAAAAGAAGGAUCUAUGGUUCGUAAACUUCUUUUGCAGGGGAAUAAAGUGCAGGACGUGUCCUGUUUUGUAUGUACCCUGAGAAUAAGGAUCGGCUAACUCCGUGCCAGCAGCUGC
rnacentral:rRNA from 1 species